GCUCUAUGCUGUUCAAGGUCAGUAUCCAUUUGCAUUGUUUAUGAGUUGCACUAUAUUUUAUUUGAGUUCCGUAUCAAUUUGCUUUUUUUAUUGGUUGCAGGUUCGACCCAAGGAAUUCUGUGUUGGAGUGGUCCAUUCUACUUAUUGACAACUCGAACCGAAGUGGAUCAAUGGAGUUUGUUGUUCCCCCAACAGACUCAUCUGUAUUUUUCCCGAUUUCUGUGAACUUCUCUGCUACUAAUACAUUUAGUGACUUGAAGGUUGUGAAUGUCUUGCCCCAGAAAGGUGGAGCUCCACCGAAGUUCGGUCAAAGAAUGCAGUGAUGUAGGCUAAACUCGUCAGUACGUCAGAGCUGUCUUUCUACAUUUAUGCUUCGUACUUCCUAGAAAUUUCAUGAUCUUCCUAUGCAUGCAGGUUCUGAGUUUUUCUCUGUUUGUGGCUUC